AGCGAACGCUGGCGGCAGGCCUAAUACAUGCAAGUCGAGCGCACCUUCGGGUGAGCGGCGGACGGGUGAGCAACGCGUGGGAACGUGCCCUUUGGUACGGGAUAACUGAGGGAAACUUCAGCUAAUACCGUAUGUGCCCUACGGGGGAAAGAUUUAUCGCCAUUGGAGCGGCCCGCGUUGGAUUAGGUAGUUGGUGAGGUAAAGGCUCACCAAGCCUACGAUCCAUAGCCGGUCUGAGAGGAUGAUCAGCCACACUGGGACUGAGACACGGCCCAGACUCCUACGGGAGGCAGCAGUAGGGAAUCUUGCGCAAUGGGCGAAAGCCUGACGCAGCCAUGCCGCGUGAAUGAUGAAGGUCUUAGGAUUGUAAAAUUCUUUCACCGGGGAAGAUAAUGACGGUACCCGGAGAAGAAGCCCCGGCUAACUUCGUGCCAGCAGCCGCAGUAAUAC
rnacentral:rRNA from 1 species